rnacentral:rRNA from 1 species
UUGAUUACGUCCCUGCCCUUUGUACACACCGCCCGUCGCUGCCUAGAACUGAGCCAUUUCGAGAAUAUUCGGGAUCGCUGGUUUGGUCUUCACGGACCACUCUGGUUCGAGAACGAACGUAAUCGCAGUGGCUUGAACCGGGCAAAAGUCGUAACAAGGUAUCUGUAGGUGAACCUGCUGAUGGAUCAUUACCUUGUCUUUCGACAAAACUAUUCUUUCCUUCGAGAGGCGGAGUAACCGCGACUCCGUCUCGGACCAGUUUGUGAGCGCCCCGCCUCUGGGCAAUGAGAACCAGCAACUUUGUCCACUUCGGGUUCUGGUUCUCAAGUCUCGCAGACGAAGAACGGCUGACUGGUUCCUGGGUAACGCCGAGCAGUUGUUGCCGCAAUGUCCGUGGCUGCGUUGAAGCGUUACGUGAUUCCCUCGCUGUGGCCUUCAGGUCGCGGGGGGAGGAGGAUCAAUGAGUACCGGAGUGGUGCCGCCAGUCUUCACAUUUUUCAAUAAAUUUUUUUACAAAACGAAUACGUUAGUCUUGCCGGUGGAUCACUCGGCUCGUAGGUCGAUGAAGAUCGCAGCCAAAUGCGAUAGCUGGUGCGAGCUGCAGAUUUUGUGAGCACUGAAAUAUCGAAUGCACAUUGCACCUUGGAACUUGUUCCUUGGUACGCCUGGUUCAGGGUCACUUUUCCUUCAAAACAAAGCAUUGUUGUUGACUGCUGUGGAGUUACUUGGUGGCUAACCGCUUAAGCAGCAAAGCAAUUUCACAUAUUUGAUCCUUCGAUGCCUCAUUCAGAGAGUGCAUGACUAAACUGGUCAAGAAUCACCGCAUUGCCAGUUUAGUACGUUCGCUUGUUUGAUGAGGAAAGAACACAGAAGACUCUUUAAUGCUUUGACCUGAACUCAGACGUGAAUACCCGCCGAACUUAAGCAUAUCAGUAAGCGGAGGAAAAGAAACUAACAAGGAUUCCCUUAGUAACGGCGAGUGAAA